UACGUAGGUGGCAAGCGUUUGUUCGGAAUUAUUGGGCGUAAAGGGCGCGUAGGCGGUCUUGUAAGUCAGCUGUGAAAGCCCGGGGCUCAACCCCGGAGGGUCGGCUGAUACUGCAGGACUGGAGUACGGAAGAGGUAGCUGGAAUUCCCGGGUGUAGCGGUGAAAUGCGUAGAUAUCGGGAAGGAACACCUGAGGCGAAGGCGGGCUGACUGGGCCGAUACUGGACGCUGAGGCCGGCGAAAGCGUGGGGAGCAAACAGG
rnacentral:rRNA from 1 species